AAAUUCAGAGAGGUUUUCUGUGGAGUUAUCAAUUGAGAGGAGAUUUAAAUUGGGCACAGUUGUGUGAAUUGGACUGAAAUGGGAGAUUAACUAGUUACAAUCCCCUGCCCAUUACUCAAGAAAAAGUUGGGGCCACCAAGCAUAUGAAUUUUCUUGUCAAUUGUUACGUUGAAUUAAGCACAUUACAUAAUGAACUUGUUUUCAA
rnacentral:misc_RNA from 1 species